CUCCUUUGUCCACAGAAGUGGGCGCAUAUAGUCAAAGUGGGAAUAAUACCUAUCCCCCGUUCAAGGACCGGGGUCUAGGAUUACCAGUCAUCCCGAUGAUCUGGGGCCAGGCAAAAAACCCAGUGGCAAAAACUCAUAUUUGAGGAAAAAGCACAUCUGGGGAAAACCUGAGUGGGGGCCGCGCUUGUGUUAGACAUGUCAUCCCCUCACAGUUGACACCACUUGUGACUUAUAAUACCCGCACCUGUGAGUACAUAGCUCGGGUAUCGGGAGGAAUUGGGAAACACUUCUUACAUAUUAAUUCAUGAGAUAAAUUAUAAUCUAGCUUGAAAUUCUGACAAUAAUAACCAGGACCUUGCGUCCUAUUUCUUUUAACCAUUUCCCUAUUCCAAAGGUCCAGUCAAAACCAGUCAUAUCCUCACACAGUUUCACAAAACAUGGGAAUCCAUCCUGGCACACUCAACAUAUAUCAAAAACACACAUAAUACAUUCAUCCCUG